AUUCUACUCCCUUCGUUCCACAAUACAUGCCUUCUAUUUGUCAAAAUAUAGAUGUAUCUAGACAUGUUUUAGUAUAUAGGUACAUCCAUUUUUGGACAAAUGGAAGUCAAGUAUUUUGGAACGGAGGGAGUACACA
rnacentral:pre_miRNA from 1 species